UUUAAUCUCAUCGCCCCCUGUGGUGGAAUCAAUUUCUACUUAGCCCCCGUUCUAAAAUAAAAUUAUAUAAGUAUUUAUUUUAAUUCAAAAUAUUAGUAAAAGACAAUUAUAUUGAGGGUUUUCAACUUAUUUACAGAUCCAACCUAUGUUUGGGUCAAAUAUCCAACAAAAUUAGGUUUAAUUUCGGAUCUUUCUCUUAUUUCUCAAACAAAUCCUAAUCCUAAAAAUGACAGUUCUCCCACUCUCGACAGUCCGUCGUUUUCUUUUUUCUCUCUACCGGUGACUGAGAUUUCCCGAUUUCAUAGUGCACUCCUUCAUCUUCUUCUUCCAAAAUUUCGUUUUCUUCUUCUGGAUCCUCUUGUUUUAGUCGAUACCAUCUUCUUCCUAUUUCUUCUUCACUCGUUUCUCCGUGAAUCUGAGAUAGCCACCGUGAAUCCGAGAAAUCCACCGUGAAUCCGAGGAAUCCGCGGUAGUAAUUACAAUGGCUUAUACUUAAGAAAAGGCGAAGAAGGAAAGGAAGAAGGAGAAGGAGAAGGAGAAGGAGAAGGAGAAGGAGAAGGAGCAAGAGAAGAGUUUGGCUCUUAUUUUGGUCUCUGAUGAUGAAUAUCGCCUGUUUUCUUGUGUGUGAUGUUGAUGUAUAAAUUUGUGUUUAGGUACAACUGGUACGAUUAGGUACAACUAUGUUUCUGGGUUUAUAUAUUUUGAUUAGGUAUGAAUCUGUGUUUAGGUACAACUGGUACGACUAGGUACAACUAUGUUUCUGGGUUUAUGUAUUUUGAUUAGGUAUGAAUCUUUGUAUCUGAAUCUAAUUAUCUAAAAUUUGCCCAAAAAAAAAAUCUAAUUAUCUAA